AAAAAAAAAAAAAAAAAAAAAAAAAAAAAAAAAAAAAAAAAAAAAAAA
rnacentral:ribozyme from 1 species